GAAAUAUACUAAAAAGCUUCUAACUUUUAUAUAAAAUGAUUAAAAAUUCAUUUAUAUUUCU
rnacentral:tRNA from 2 species